GAGGGUAUAGCUCUCUGGUAGAGCACAUGCUUAGCAUGCACGAGGUCUUGGGUUCAAUUCCCCAGUACCUCCA
rnacentral:tRNA from 1 species